ACACAGAACUGGAGGUACAAAGAGUGGCUGCCGUUUGCACAGCCACCCACAAAUAAUGCCCGAGUGAUGUCUACAAAGAAGAUGCUAAGACUCCAAACUUAAACCUGAAAUGAGGAAAGAGGAAUGACUCUAGGAGAGAUGAGAGCUGCCAUCCUCUGAAGAGUCAGAAAACCACCAGCAUGCCUAUUUGAAUGGAAUAAACACUGUGUAGGAGUCUUCA